GAUGAACGCUGGCGGCGUGCCUAAUACAUGCAAGUCGAGCGAACGGACGAGAAGCUUGCUUCUCUGAUGUUAGCGGCGGACGGGUGAGUAACACGUGGAUAACCUACCUAUAAGACUGGGAUAACUUCGGGAAACCGGAGCUAAUACCGGAUAAUAUUUUGAACCGCAUGGUUCAAGAGUGAAAGACGGUCUUGCUGUCACUUAUAGAUGGAUCCGCGCUGCAUUAGCUAGUUGGUAAGGUAACGGCUUACCAAGGCAACGAUGCAUAGCCGACCUGAGAGGGUGAUCGGCCACACUGGAACUGAGACACGGUCCAGACUCCUACGGGAGGCAGCAGUAGGGAAUCUUCCGCAAUGGGCGAAAGCCUGACGGAGCAACGCCGCGUGAGUGAUGAAGGUCUUCGGAUCGUAAAACUCUGUUAUUAGGGAAGAACAUAUGUGUAAGUAACUGUGCACAUCUUGACGGUACCUAAUCAGAAAGCCACGGCUAACUCCGUG
rnacentral:rRNA from 1 species